rnacentral:rRNA from 1 species
GACAGAGGGUGCAAACGUUGUUCGGAAUUACUGGGCGUAAAGCGCGUGUAGGCGGCAGCGCAAGUCGGAUGUGAAAUCCCAUGGCUCAACCAUGGAAGUGCACCCGAAACUGCGUCGCUAGAGUCCUGGAGAGGAAGGUGGAAUGCUUGGUGUAGAGGUGAAAUUCGUAGAUAUCAAGCGGAACACCGGUGGCGAAGGCGGGUCUCUGGGCCGUAACUGACGCUGAGGAGCGAAAGCGUGGGGAGCGAACAGG